rnacentral:snoRNA from 2 species
UCCCUCGCAGGAUCACACCUGGAGAGUUUCCAAUACUCUACCAGUCUUGACUAAAGGAGGGAGAGGCAAGCAGAAGAGAGCAGAGGCAUAUCCAUUCCAUUCCUAGCUUGAUCAGUUGCUAGCAAGUGGGAGGUCAUCUGCUACAAGU